AUGGCAUUUCCUCAGAGGAUUCGAGAUUUGAACCCUUCAAGUUUUUGUCUGAGCCGUUUGUUUGAAGGAAGAUUUUACUGAGUUUUAUGGUCUGCUUUUGUUUCUCUUGUUCGAAGCUCCAGAUUUUGCUUUUGGUAUUUUGGUCGCUGUUGUUCCUGCUCCAGCAAGUUCUUGCGGCGAUCCUCUCUUGUGUGGAGAGAUGGAUCUCCAGGGAUUUAUAUAGCGGGUCGUUUCGGGCAAUGGGACGUGAGAGUGGGCACAAUGAGUCAUGUUGUAGUCGGCAAGGAUGGUACGAGCGUAAUUGGAUUAGUGGAGAAGUAUUCCCCCAUCAGUUUGUAAAAACUGUACUCCUAAGAACUUCUGUAUAAGGCUAAGUUCCACCAUUUUGAACUCUUUCUGUAGUAGCCUUUUGAGAGUUGCGAUGGCAUGCGGAUCUGAGCCUGUGAUCAAUAGAUCGUCUACAUAUAGAACCAGCAUUACGGCCGAGGAUACAUGUGUGGUGUAGUAAACAUUUGAGUCGGCUUGCUUACGGGACAUACCUUUGUUGCGUAGGAAACUAUCUAUCCGACUAUACCAAGCUCGUGGGGAUUGCUUCAGUCCGUGGAGUGACCAGUUCAACAUGCAGACUAGAUGUUCGGAGCCUGGAGUUAUGCACCUUGGGGGUUGGAGCAUGAACACAUCGUCGUGGAUAUAGCGGUUGAGGAAUUCUGUGGCCACAUCCAUGUGGUAGAUUGGCCAUGAAUGGUGUUCGGCGAGGCCGAUGACUAGGCGAAUGGACUCCCACCAAAUUGUGGAUGCGAAAGUUUCUUGAAAAUUCACUCCAUGUUGCUGUUCGAACCCGCAUGCCACGAUUCUGGCUUUGUGGCGGGCAGGGCCGCCAUUGAUACCAAGCUUGACUUUAUAUAUCCAUCGAGCACUGAUUGGGCAAACUCGGGGAGGUAGAGGGACGAGAUCCCACGAAUUAUUCUUGAGGAUGGAGUUGAAUUCUGAUUGCAUAGCUGAAAUCCAGCGGAGGUCAUAUUGGGCCUCCUGGAACGAAAGUUGUUCGCUCCCUUCCUCUGUGGUGGCUAUGAAGAAUUCGGCUAGAUCAACGCGGACAUAGCUGUCAUGGGAGCGCGGCGGAGCUCGAAUGUGGGUCGAGCGGCGAAUAUGCUGCGGUGAUUUGUCGGCGAGGUUGUGAGAUUGCGAAGCGUGUGAUUGCGAUUGUUCGUCCAUAUUAGCCGCAGGAGGUUUUCCGGUAGGAGUAAGAAUAGGAUCUUGGACUACCUAGGCAUUGCUGGGGUCUUGAUGGAGGCCGGCCACCGCCUCGUCAAGCCGUCGACGGAUGGUCGUCUCCAUCCUGUGUCUCUCCUCCGCCUUGUUAAUACACCACUUCUUGUAGAACUUUACAUACCUACGAAUUUUCCCAAAAAAUCCCAAAUUUGCGUGUGCAACCCACAGCCGACGUAUUUGAGCCUGGACCGCUGGGUCGUUCAAAAAUGUCGAAUUCAUUACGUAACGCAAAUUCCUCCUCGGUUAUGGGAAUAGUUGUACCUCCUUCCACACGGAGAGGUAGUCCGAGUGGGUGUUAUCACCUCUGAUGUGGUACUCUGAACUCUUGGGCUUGGACCCGGGUAAUGAGAAGGCAUAUAUCCGAUCGA